rnacentral:rRNA from 1 species
UUGGAGGGCAAGUCUGGUGCCAGCAGCCGCGGUAAUUCCAGCUCCAAUAGCGUAUAUUAAAGUUGUUGCAGUUAAAAAGCUCGUAGUUGAAUUUCGGGGUUCUUCCGUUGGUCAGGCUCACAAGUCUGUACUAGCGUGUAGAAUCUCUACCUUCUGGGGAACCAUCAUGUUAUUAAUUUAGCGUGGUGGGAAACCAGGACCUUUACCUUGAAAAAAUUAGAGUGUUCAAAGCAGGCUUACGUCUGAAUACAUUAGCAUGGAAUAAUAAAAUAGGACGGUGGUCCUGUUUUGUUGGUCUCUGAAUCACCGUAAUGAUUAAUAGGGAUAGUUGGGGGCAUUAGUAUUCAAUUGUCAGAGGUGAAAUUCUUGGAUUUAUUGAAGACUAACUUCUGCGAAAGCAUUUGCCAAGGAUGUUUUCAUUAAUCAAGAACGAAAGUUAGGGGAUCGAAGACGAUCAGAUACCGUCGUAGUCUUAACCAUAAACAAUGCCGACUAGGGAUCGGACGAUGUUAAAUUUUAUUGACUCGUUCGGCGCCUUACGGGAAAC